rnacentral:misc_RNA from 1 species
CGGCAAGAGGACGCCGGCGAUGGCGAAAACGCCGACGAAAUAAGUUACGGCCAUCUUCUUGAAGGAAUACGUGGUGAUUCCGACGAGAACGACGGCGGCGGCCAAGAAAACCAGAGAGAAGUUGAGAGCGGCGUCGUUGGGCAUGGAUCUAGAGUGGAAAAGGAAGAAAGAAAUGAGAGAAUAAUGGAAGCGACGGCCAUUGCAGAGAAGAGAAGAGAGCGCGUAGGCCAGGG